GUUAUGGCGGGGACUCAUAGGAGACUGCCGGGGUCAACUCGGAGGAAGGUGGGGAUGACGUCAAAUCAUCAUGCCCCGUUAUGUCUUGGGCUGCACACAUGCUACAAUGGCCGGUACAAAGGGCUGCAAUGCCGCAAGGUGGAGCUAAUCCCAAAAAGCCGGUCUCAGUUCGGAUUGGGGUCUGCAACUCGACCCCAUGAAGUCGGAGUCGCUAGUAAUCGCAGAUCAGCAACGCUGCGGUGAAUACGUUCCCGGGCCUUGUACACACCGCCCGUCACGUCACGAAAGUUGGUAACACCCGAAGCCAGUGGCUCAACUCGCAAGAGAGGGAGCUGUCGAAGGUGGGAUCAGCGAUUGGGACGAAGUCGUAACAAGGUAGC
rnacentral:rRNA from 1 species